AUGUAUUAUCAUACCAGCACUAACGCACUAGAUUUCAUCAGAUCUCCACAGUUAAUCGUGUGUGGACGAGAGUAGUAUUAGGAUGGAUGACUUCUCGAGAAGUUAAGAAUUACUACAUA
rfam:Gossypium hirsutum cultivar TM-1 chromosome 21, whole genome shotgun sequence